rnacentral:rRNA from 1 species
UGGGGAAUAUUGGACAAUGGGGGCAACCCCUGAUCCAGCCAUGCCGCGUGAGUGAUGAAGGCCUUAGGGUUGUAAAGCUCUUUCACCCGGGACGAUAAUGACGGUACCGGGAGAAGAAGCCCCGGCUAACUUCGUGCCAGCAGCCGCGGUAAUACGAAGGGGGCUAGCGUUGUUCGGAAUCACUGGGCGUAAAGCGCACGUAGGCGGACCGUUAAGUCGGAGGUGAAAUCCUGGGGCUCAACCCCAGAACUGCCUUCGAUACUGGCGGUCUCGAGUCCGGAAGAGGUGAGUGGAACUGCCAGUGUAGAGGUGAAAUUCGUAGAUAUUGGCAAGAACACCAGUGGCGAAGGCGGCUCACUGGUCCGGUACUGACGCUGAGGUGCGAAAAGCGUGGGGAGCAAAACAGGAUUAGAUACCCUGGUAGUCCACGCCGUAAACGAUGAAUGCCAGCCGUCGGGCAGCAUGCUGUUCGGUGGCGCAGCUAACGCUUUAAGCAUUCCGCCUGGGGAGUACGGUCGCAAGAUUAAAAACUCAAAUGAAUUGACGGGGGUCAUAGC